UACAGAGGGUGCAAGCGUUAAUCGGAAUUACUGGGCGUAAAGCGUGCGUAGACGGUUAUGUAAGUCAGAUGUGAAAGCCCCGGGCUCAACCUGGGAAUUGCAUUUGAGACUGCAUAGCUAGGGUGCGGAAGAGGGAAGCGGAAUUUACGGUGUAGCGGUGAAAUGCGUAGAUAUCGUAAGGAAGACCAGUGGCGAAGGCGGGUCUCUGGACAGUUCCUGACGCUGAGGCACGAAGGUCAGGGGAGCAAACGGG
rnacentral:rRNA from 1 species